GACGGGUUCUCCACCCAUACGGGGAUGGAGCGACAGAAGUAUGGAAAUAGGAUAAGGUAGCGGCGAGACGAGCCGUUUAAAUAGGUGUCAAGUGGAAGUGCAGUGAUGUAUGCAGCUGAGGCAUCCUAACGAACGAACGAUUUGAACCUUGUUCCUACACGGCCUGAUCAAAUCGAUCAGGCACUUGCCAUCUAUCUUCAUUGUUCAACUCUUUGAUGAAAAGAUGAAAAAACCAAAAAAAAGCUCUGCCCUUCCAUCUCUUGGAUAGAUAGAGAGGGAGGGCAGAGGCCUUUGGUGUCCCUUUCAGUCAAGAAUUGGGGCUUCAC
rnacentral:misc_RNA from 1 species